rnacentral:rRNA from 1 species
UGCGUAGGCGGCUUUUUAAGUCGGAUGUGAAAUCCCCGAGCUUAACUUGGGAAUUGCAUUCGAUACUGGGAAGCUAGAGUUCUGUAGAGGGGGGUAGAAUUCCAGGUGUAGCGGUGAAAUGCGUAGAGAUCUGGAGGAAUACCGAUUGCGAAGGCAGCCCCCUGGACAGUGACUGACGCUCAUAUGCGAAAGCGUGGGGAUCAAACAGGAUUAGAUACCCCAGUA